GCCACACUGGUCCGAAGAACAGGGUGUUCUGGGACCAAGGCCCAGCAAAAUCAUUGUCAAAGAGACCAGGGAGGCUUCAUCCAGCAACUGAUGGGAGCAGACGCAGUCCUGCAGCCAAAUAUUAGGGGGAGCUCAGGGAGUCCGGUGGAGGAGCAGGAGGACACCAGAAGGACAGAGCCUACAGAAUCAACUGACUGUGACUCACGGGAGCCUGUAGAGGUCUGACCUAGGUCCUUUGUGGAUUUGUUCUGGCUGAGUAACUUGGUGUUCUUGAGGGACCCUUUUCCUCUACUGGAUUGAUUACCUUGUCCAGCCGUGAUGGGAUGGAACUUGGUGAGAAUUUCAGCGCAUGGAGAACUCCACAUACUCCAGCUGGUGUAUUCAGAGCUCUUGUGUGCUGCUGGGACCAAAAUAUUGUAUUAGACAGCUGUAAGCUGGAGAAUGCCCAAAAUAAAGAUCUCUCUCUCUCUCUCUCUCU